ACUUUAAAAAGCACAGCUCUGUUCUCUUCUCUUGAGCUCUCUAGGAUACUGCCCUUCUCUACUCUACUCUACCAUCUUCUCCUCUACUAUACCAUCUUCUCCUCUACUCUACCAUCCUCUCCUCUACUCUACCAUCUUCUCCUCUACUCUACCAUCUUCUCCUCUACUCUACCAUCUUCUCCUCUACUCUACCAUCCUCUACUCUCCUCUACCAUCCUCUCCUCUCCUCUACUCUACCAUCCUCUCCUCUACUCUACCAUCCUCUACUCUCCUCUACCAUCCUCUCCUCUACUCUACCAUCCUCUCCUCUACUCUACCAUCCUCUCCUCUACUCUACCAUCCUCUCCUCUACCAUCUUCUCCUCUACUCUACCAUCUUCUCCUCUACUCUACCAUCCUCUACUCUACCAUCUUCUCCUCUACUCUACCAUCCUCUACUCUACUCUACCAUCCUCUACUCUACCAUCUUCUCCUCUACUCUACCAUCUUCUCCUCUACUCUACCAUCCUCUACUCUACCAUCUUCUCCUCUACUCUACCAUCCUCUACUCUACCAUCUUCUCCUCUACUCUACCAUCCUCUACUCUACCAUCUUCUCCUCUACUCUACCAUCCUCUCCUCUACUCUACCAUCCUCUCCUCUACUCUACCAUCCUCUACUCUACCAUCUUCUCCUCUACUCUACCAUCCUCUACUCUACCAUCUUCUCCUCUACUCUACCAUCCUCUACUCUACUCUACCAUCCUCUCCUCUACUCUACCAUCCUCUACUCUACUCUACCAUACUCUACUCUACCAUCCUCUACUCUACUCUACCAUCCUCUCCUCUACUAUACCAUCCUCUCCUCUACUCUACCAUCCUCUACUCUACCAUCCUCUCCUCUACUCUACCAUCCUCUACUCUACCAUCUUCUCCUCUACUCUACCAUCUUCUCCUCUACUCUACCAUCUUCUCCUCUACUCUACCAUCAUCUCCUCUACUCUACCAUCUUCUCCUCUACUCUACCAUCCUCUACUCUCCUCUACUCUACCAUCCUCUCCUCUACUCAUCCUCUCCUCUACCAUCCUCUCCUCCACUCUACCAUCCUCUACUCUACUCUACCAUCCUCUCCUCUACUCUACCAUCCUCUACUCUACUCUACCAUACUCUACUCUACCAUCCUCUACUCUACUCUACCAUCCUCUCCUCUACUCUACCAUCCUCUCCUCUACUCCACCAUCCUCUCCUCAGUUCUGUGCUGUCUGUUCUACUGUAUUCAAUGGACUUGUGUUAUAAGCGCACUAUCACUUCCGACCUCAAGACUCAUCCUUUAAGACAUGAAGUCACUGGAUGCAGGGCCCUCCGUGACUCACACAGAGGUCAUGACCUUUUCUCACUAGCACUGGCAUGGACCUUUGCAUCACUUUCUACCUAUCGAGGCCAGUGCAUCACAGCGUCAUGUCUGUCUGGGUCAAUAUCAUCUGUGCUCUCUGCUCAUCCAACUGUGUCAAACUGAUGCACUAGGGGAAAUAGAUACUACCAAAUACCUUUACCGCUACAUAAGAGGACUGCCUCCUGUAUUUGGCUGUGAGAUGGCACUAGAAAUACAAGGCCAAGAUUGAAGACCUUGUAUUAAUGUCUAUUGACUAAAGGUAAUAGCUUUGCUGCCUGCGACUCAGCCGUUAGGUUACUCCAGGCUGGCCUGUAACAGCCCAUAGGCAAGCUUUUAGUACAACUAUCCGACGUUGGAGGUUUCAAUAUUCUGUUUAUGUCCAUACAUCAUCACAUAAACACACACACACACACACACACACACACACACACACACACACACACACUGAAGUCUGCUGUGCUGCAUGCAGGGCUCUCUGCUGCUCCAGGCCUG
rnacentral:lncRNA from 1 species